GGUUGUGGGGCCUGACUGGAAGCACCCGGCUCAGGCCUUGGGGUGCGGCUGAGCAGGGAGAGAGCUGGUCACCUUGCUUGACUGCAGGAGCACCUGGGCCCGUGCAGGGCAGGACAGUGGCCUGGCCACUCUGCAAGCUGACUAAUAAUUCACUGCAACUAAUAACUUCAACUUCAAGCUUUUUGACUUUCUUAGAGGGCACUUUGUUCAACAGCACAGGGAAGAUGACAGCAAGAACACAUGCAUUUAAACUAACAACACAAGCGAGAGAGAAGCCGUCUUCCAGGGGAGACAGAGAGAGGCUUCAGAGCACCCCGUGCCUCCUGCCCGGACUUGUACUCCAAUUAUGCCCCCGCUCUCUGGGCAGGAAGAUUGUUUACAGCAGGUUCUCAAUCAGGGAGAUGGGGGAUUGAGCCAGGACGGAGGAUGUGGUGGGCGAGAACUCAGGUAUGAGGGGUAUCGGUCUUGGAUCCUGUAC